rnacentral:lncRNA from 1 species
AAACUUCUCACUUUGGGUAUUUGAAAUUAGGAAGAAUGUAUUCACACUGAAUAUAGUUGCCAUCAUUUAAUAUGAAUCAGUACUUUAUUCUAUCGUCAUGGUCCUAUAAUGGAAUGUAUUUUUUCCUCUAAAGAAAGUAGGUAGAAAAUGAAUGUAAUGGUAUUUCUUAAAAACACAACAACAGGGGCUGGCCUGGUGGCAUAGUGGUUAAAUUUGCAUGCUCUGCUUUGGCGGCAUGGAGUUCGCUAGUUUGAAUCCUGGGCACAGACCUAUGCACUGCCCACCAGGCCAUGCUGUGCUGGCAUCUCACAUACAAAAUGGAGGAAGAUUGGCACAGAUGUUAGCUCAGGGACAACUUUCCUCACCAAAAAAAAAAAAAAAAAAAACAAAGAAAACAGAAACCACAAGAACAGCAUCAACUAUAACCUAUCUCUUUAGAUGCUCUGGUUUUAGAUCAUGGUCUCCUAUGUGGUCUUCAUGCUGGGGGGAGAGAAGCUUCACUUGGAGAGGGAAGAGAAGAAAUUACGAAGAUCAGGACGUCAUAUUCCAUCUGAACAAUUUACAUAUCAGGGGUUGAUUUGGGACCAUAUGAGGAUAUUUAAAAAGAAAUGAACCUUGGAACAAAGUUUUUGAGAAGAGUCUGAAGAUUCUGAUGUGGCAGAGGUAGUAACAUUAACAAGUCUGUUGCUGUGUUAUUGGCAAAAAUAUUUUCCUUCCAGUAAGGCUCAUCCCAGAAGAGACAAAUAUAGGCAGAGUCGGUGACAGUGGUUAGUAGAAUAGUUUUUUUGCAAACUCUGUUUUUAUUUUUCUCACCCAGGUUUACAAAAUGAGACUUUAAAAUAAAAACAAACAAUCAAAGAAAUAAAAAAAUCA